UUCCCUGUAGCUCAGUGGUAGAGCUUCUGUUUGCGUGCAGAAGGUCCCAGGUUCAAUCCCCGUCAUCUCUGGAUAGGAAU